ensembl:snRNA U6 U6 spliceosomal RNA
AUAGUUUUGGUAGUACAUAUACUAAAAACUGGAAUGAAAUAGAGAAGAUUGAUGUGGGCCAUGCACAAGGAUGACACACAAAUUCAUGAAGCAGUCUAUAUAUUU